AUGGGCAUUAGGGUCUUCUGUUGGGUCAUCUUUUAUCUCCUGGGGAUAGACCUCACUAACGCUGGAGUUUCCCAGUCUCCCUUGUACAGAAUUAUAAAGAGGGGACAAGAUACAGCCCUUGAGUGUGAUCCAGUUUCUGGCCACAGAGGUCUUUACUGGUACCGACAGAACCUGGGGCAAGGUCCAGUGUUCAUGGUGUCUUUCCUGUAUGAGCUUUUAUCAGACAAAUCUGGGAUGUCUAAUGAUCGGUUCUCUGCAGUGAGGCCUGAGGGCUCCAUCUCCACUCUGAAGAUCCAGUCUACAGAUGAAGAGGACUCAGGCAUAUACCUCUGUGCCAGCAGCUUAACCACAGCAUGGCACAGGUGUUUCCUUCCUGCUCACAAACCCCUGGCUUCAUUCUUCUCACAGUGCGUAGAGUUCUUAGGCAGAUUCAAGCUUCACUUGCCCUUUAAACAAAGCCAUUACCAGGAAAUUCACUAA